AUUCUCAUGUUCAGUUGUGAUUCUCUCUAGAUUUGCUCUAUGCAUCCUUACCCCUCUCUCUGUCACCGAUUGUCAUUGCAGGCCACUUCCUCAACACCACCAGCUUCGUAGCCACGGGAAGUGCUCUCUUCGCUUGCGUUUUCGGGCUAACUUCAUCGAAGUGCUUGAUUCUCCAUCUCCCUCCUUUAGUCCGUUCCAGUAUUUGGUGCUACAACUCCUGAAGAUUCACUCCUCUGAUUUGAUCACCAAUCGUGGUCAGCUAUUACUCUUCAUCAAGCAAAAUCCACAUACUCUGUUUCUGCUGAAGGAAAAGACCGAGUACUCAAUUCCACCAGCGUGAAAUCUGGUCGCGUUUGAGGCUUUCCUGAUGACCUUGAGCAUGCUGAGUUGCCUCUUUGUGAUAAGAUAUUUUCCUUAUUUCUGCAUCUAGAUCCUUUGACAGAAAUAUCUACCACCAGUUUGAUAAAAUUCCUGAACUAGAUCAGUGUGUUUUGAUUCUGAUUCUGAUGGAGAGCUUCCCUUUGCUUGAUCGAUACAUUAGUUUUGUUGUAUAGACUAGACUUGUAUUUUUAUUUUCCUUUCAUUUCAGAAGUUAGUAGCUAUCCAUUUUAGGAUUUGUUAUUGAAAUUCUCGGAUUAGAUGCAUAUCACGUGCGUACAUGAGAUAAAUCUGAUAUCUAAGUAUUCCAGAACUUAGACCGAGGGCAUCUUGAACGAAAAUGAAUUGAUCCAUGCACAUUUACUUCUUAUGCUUCACAAUAUGUUGAUCUUUUUUUUCUGUGCCCAACUGCAAACAUAUUAUGAAAAAAUAUUGCUGGGUUUGUUCUCUGUACAUGUUGAGAUCGCAAGUGUAUUGAACGAAUGCUAAUAUCUUGAAUCUUGGGUGCAUGCUGCAAGAGCAUUGAGCUGCUUCUCUAGUCAUCACAUACACAUUCAUUUUGGGUGGGCAGUGUUACUGAUUGGUUCAUCUUCAUGUCCGUUGAGUUGUUGAUGUGGUCACCUUGUUGUGUUCGUACCAAUGUGUUAUGCUACGGAUUAUGUCUAUUCUUCCAUGCUUGCUGUUCAUAUGUCCUGGUAUGUGGAAUUGUUCAAUUGUGUCAUCGAUGUGCUGUUCAUUCAUGCCAAGCAGUUGCUGUCCAGAUUUCCUCUUUCAUUUUUUUCUGUUCUAAUUUGGUGAGCCUCUAGUGUCAUGACUGAAGAAUUUAGAGUUGUAAAGGCGUAUAUGCAUUCAUUUUGGGUGGGCAGUGUUACUGAUUGGUUCAUCUUCGUAUGCGUUGAGUUGUUGAUGUGGUCACGUUGUUGUGUUUGUACUGAUGUAUGAUGUGCUGUGUUACGGAUUAUGUCUAUUCUGUGCGUGCUUGCUGUUCAUAUGUCCUGGUGUGUAGAAUUGUUUAAUUGUGUCAUUGAUGUGCUGUUCGUUCAUGCCAAGCAGUUGCUGUCCAGAUUUCCUCUUUCAUUUUUUUCUGUUCUAUUAUGGUGAGCCUCUAAGUGUCGAGACUGAAGAAUUCAGAGUUGUAACGGCCAGUAUGAGGAGACCAUUUAAAUGCUUUCAGGUUUUAUUUAUUUUGUGAAAACUGAAUGAUUUGAAAAUCAUUUUCCUAAAAAUGUUGGUGUCUUUUAAGACAUUUAUGUAAUUUCAAACUAAUCUAAAGGAAUAAAAAAAAUUCUCGUAGAAAGUAAGUUAUUAGCUACAUUUCAUAAGGGAACUGUUAAUUUCACGUAGCUAUAUCAUUGUCUGAAAAGUUUUUGCUAAAUAAAUGUCUUGCUUAGCAAAAUUAUUUUGUUCAAACGAUCGGAAAAGAAAAAUAUAAUAUGAUUUUUUUCAUAUCCGCUCAUCUACCAAUAAAGAAAUGUCUUGUGGAGCAGAGUAAUGCCGUGACUAUUUGAGGCCACCGCUGUAUGUGAGUAUCAUCAGGGAUAAAGGCGCGAUAACCAAGCACCGCCGUGAAGUGAGCUGCCGGCGGAAGACUCGAAACAAGGAAAAACGCCAAAAUAGGGAGUUAUCAAGUCCGUCUCUGCAAGGGCAGUUUAAGGCGAAACCCGCGCUUCCAUGGCAGUCACUGAGGUGCAGGACGAGCGUCAAGAAUUUCGGGAAUGGAUGGAUAAAGGUUUGAACGAGAACAGCGAGCUCUUGAACGAGGAGCUAACAACAGAGCCUCUCAGCCAAACUCGUCAGAGCUGAUGCCGACGAUUGCAUGAGGUCGAGUUGGAGUUGGCAAUGGUGGCGACGUUGCUCUAGAAACUCAGCUGGCGUUACAGUGAGGGAGCUCGGCAGAAUGCUGAGGUGAGGGAGAAGAAUCAUCAGAGCUCCCUGACGCCGGUAGGAGAGCUCGUGAGAUAUAAAAGCCAUAGAGAGGACCGUUCGGUCCUGUUGGCAUGUGUAGAGAAUCCAGGCGCGACAGAGGUGGAUGUCAGGAGAGGAAGAGAACCGGUUUCCAUGAGUGAUUCCAAGUCCGAGAGAAUAAGUGGAGAGGGAAUUCGUCUCUCUCUCUCUCUCUCUCUCUCUCUCUCUCUCUGUCUCUCUCUCUCUCUGUGGACACUCAAAAAACCAACGUCAUAAACAUUGCAGAGGGGAGGGAUUCUCUGGAAUUUUGCGGAGAAGACGCACAAUCAGGAGUUCCUUCCUCCUGUGGAUCUCCUCCUCUGCGGCUGCAUUCAAUCUCGCCUACCCCCUGCAGAUUCCACCAUGACCAGGUCUUCUCUCUGAUCCUACCUCUCCCGACUGCACUCAUGAGCACCUGCAAGGAAUGAGGCACUCACAUGCACAGAGAGAGCGAGAGAGAAAGAGAAAGGGAGAGUUCUGAAGAAUUAUGAGUUGGGUUGGAUCUGAUGGGCUGGAGUGAUGGGCCGAAAAGCCUAAAGUGAUGUACUGAAUGUGGAUUUAUACACACUAACUAUUUUAUAUUUUAUUAUUAUUGUUAUUAUUUUUUAAUAAAAGCAAUGUUCAACUUGCCAG
rnacentral:lncRNA from 1 species